AUGGCCGGCUGGAGGAAGGCGUGGCUGUCCGUGCUGGACCGGAGCGGCGGCGGCGGCGGCGGCGGGGCCAGCAGCGGCUCCCUCCAGGCGCACCUCAACGGCCUCCUCUCCCCGUCCUCCUCCUCCACCUCCCUCGCCACCGCCCACAAGCGAGGCAGCGGCGCCGGCGGUAAGCACGGCGGCGGGCCGUACGUGAGCACCAAGGCCGUGCUGGCCUGCUUCUCCGCCGUCCUGGUGAUCGCCUUCUUCUACAUCUCCGUCACCGGUCGCCCCUCCCCCGACGACUCCUUCCCCACCCCGACGGGCUCCUCGCCGGCGUCCGGCGCGCUGCUGUCGUCGAACUCGUCCACGCCGACGUCGCCGAGGAAGCCGCUUCCUACCCACCCUCCCGUUCUUCCUAACGUAAGUAGCACCGGCACGGCUCAGCGGAGCAGCGCGCGCAAUGCCACCGUGGUGUCGCCGAGUCGAGUACAGAGCAACAACUCGGAUGAUGACUGGGCGCCGGCCGAUGGCUCGGGACAGCCGGCAUUGGUGCCGGAGGAUAUGGGGAAAGCGCAGGGUCCCCUCUAUAACGCCGAAAACGCCACGAUCAGCGGAUCGGACGGGGAGCCCGUCGUCGGCAACGGCACUAAAGCGCAAGAUGUAACCGCAAUGCCGACGCCGGCGUGGCGGAGAGCGGAUGCAGCGAAUUCCACAGGAAAACCCAUCAUCGGGGGCUCUCCUGAUGAGCCCGCGGACUCCGAAGGCGCCACCGGCAACUCUACCGACACGGUUGUGCGUUCGAGUAAGGAAGAUCGAAACGCGAACGCCAGCGUCGACAAUGUACCGCCGAACUCGACGCGGCGAGCAGCGCUGCCAUCAACAGCGCCGGGUCAGCGAAAGGAGGACAGACGCAGGCGCAAGAGAGCGUCCAUGGCGAGGCACAAGCAGCGCUCGAUCAGGCGACGGAAGGAGUUCGUCCACCCGGUGCAGGAAGGAGCUGCCGCCGACAACAGCGACGGCAUUGCCACGGCAGGCGCGAACACCAGCGUUGCCAUCGGGCCAGGCAACCACCAGGUGGUGUGGACGUCCUCCGCCGACCAUAGCGACGGCGCCGGCACUGGCACCGUCACGGCAGGCGCGAACACCAGCGUUGCCGUCGGGCCAGGCAACCACCGGGUGGAGUGGACGCCUUCCGCCGACCACAGCGACGGCGUCGGCACUGGCACCGUCACGGCAGCCGCGAACACCAGCGUGUCCGUCGGGCCCGGCAACCACCGGGUGGUGUGGACGUCGGGCGUGCAGGACCUGGUGACCUUCGCCAAGUGCGAUCUGUUCAGCGGGAGGUGGGUGAGGGAGGAGAACCACGCGUUCUACCCGCCGCGGUCGUGCCCCCACAUCGACGGCGACUUCAACUGCCACAAGAACGGCCGUCAGGACACCGGCUUCCUCAACUGGAGGUGGCAACCGACCGGCUGCAACAUUCCCAGGAUGAACGCGUCUGAUUUCCUGGAGAGGCUGCGGGGCCAGAGGAUCAUAUUCGUCGGCGACUCGCUGAACCGCAACAUGUGGGAGUCUCUGGUCUGCACUCUCCGCCAUGGUGUCAGGAACAAGAAGAACGUGUACGAGAAGUCCGGGAAGAACCAGUUCAAAACCAGAGGAUUCUAUUCCUUCAAGUUCAGAGACUACAAUUGCUCUGUGGAUUUCAUAAGAUCGACAUUUCUGGUCAAAGAGACGGUCCGCGAGAGCCCAAACGGCACCGUACUCGACGAGAAGCUGAGGUUGGAUGAGCUAGAUGCAACGACUCCGGCGUACCAGACUGCCGACAUCGUCGUCGUCAACACCGGGCACUGGUGGACUCACCCAAAGUCGUCAAAAGGGCUGAACUAUUAUCAAGAAGGCAACCGUGUGCACCAUAGCCUUGAGGUGAUGGACGCAUACAUGAAAGCACUGACCACAUGGGCUAAAUGGGUCGACAAGAACAUAGACCCAACAAGAACUCAGAUCGUGUUCAGAGGACUCUCCCUAACACACUUCAGGGGAGGGCAGUGGAACUCCGGAGGGAGGUGCCACAGGGAGACCGAGCCGAUAUUCAACCAGACGUACCUCACCGAGUACCCCAAGAGGAUGAGAAUGCUGGAGAAGGUCAUGAGCAGGAUGAAGACCCCUGUGAUAUACCUCAACAUCAGCCGGCUCACCGACUACCGGAAGGACGGCCACCCGUCGGUGUACCGGGUGCGCUACGAGACGGAGGAGGAGCGGAUGGCGGCGGCGGCGACCAAGCAGGACUGCAGCCACUGGUGCCUGCCGGGCGUGCCGGACACAUGGAACGAGCUGCUGUAUGCCUCGCUGCUCCAGGCAGGCAAAGGCCCCUGGAGACUAUGA
rnacentral:rRNA from 1 species